GACAGUUUAACUUGAUGGUUUAGUACAGAGUUGAUGUUGGAUGCUUUCAGUUUUCUCCCAACUCCUCUCCCAAGUGAAAUUAAGAAGCAGUGGAAAACCCAGAUGAGCUAUCUCAAUGCUCUUGGGUUAGAUUUGAAGGCAACACAUCUGUUUUUGACGCUAUGCUGUUGCAUUCUUUCUGAGAUCCCCAUGAACUGGUUCAUCAACUGUGGUUUUAUGGAGAAGAAGAUUGGUUUUCUCGGUUAUAGAGCUAAGAUAUGGCUCAAAUUGUGGGAGAAGAUCCCUGCGAGCGUUUGGAAGCUCCACCAGUACUACCAGUAUAUUUGGUCGAAGAAAUUUCCCAGAAGAUGGUGGAAGAACCUUUUGAUAGCCUGGGUAAUUGGUUGGAUCCUGGUGUCGUUCUGGACCUUCUGGUACAUGAGCUCUCUGGUGACUGAGAGGAGGAAAGAGGCCAUUGCGAGCAUGUGUGAUGAGCGGGCGAGAAUGCUUCAGGACCAGUUCAAUGUCAGCAUGAAUCAUGUUCAGGCUUUGUCCAUUCUCAUUUCAACCUUUCACCAUGGGAAGAAUCCAUCCUCUAUUGAUCAGGCAACUUUUGCAAAGUAUACAGAGCGAACCACCUUUGAAAGGCCACUAACCAGUGGUGUGGCUUAUGCUGUUAGGGUGCUUCACCCAGAAAGGGAACAUUUUGAGAAACAACAAGGCUGGACUAUUAAGAGGAUGGAUACAAUGGAACAGACACAGGUUCAGGAGGAUGACUAUGCCCCUGAAACCCAGGAUCCAUCUCCCGUUCAAGAAGAAUAUGCCCCGGUUAUCUUUGCACAGGAUACCAUUUCACAUGUGAUUUCUAUUGACAUGCUCUCGGGGAAGGAAGAUCGUGAGAAUGUAUUACGUGCUAGAGCAUCAGGAAAAGGGGUCCUUACUGCUCCAUUUAGGUUACUCAAAUCAAAUCGCCUUGGUGUCAUACUGACUUUUGCUGUUUACAAGUCAGAGCUCCCGUCAAAUGCAACCCCAAAUGAGCAAAUCCAAGCUACUGAUGGGUACAUAGGUGGAGUCUUUGAUGUAGAGUCUCUUGUGGAGAAGUUGCUACACCAGCUUGCAAGCAAGCAAACCAUCAUUGUGAAUGUUUAUGACUCCACCAAUCUCUCGCAUCCAAUUAGCAUGUAUGGUUCAGAUGAAGAUAUUGAUGAUGAGAUGUAUCACAUAAGCACCCUAAAUUUCGGUGACCCAAUCAGGAAGCAUGAGAUGCAUUGCAGAUUCAAGCAGAAGCCACCGUGGCCUUGGUUGGCAAUAACUACUUCAAUUGGUGUUCUUGUGAUUGCAUUGCUUUUGGGGCAUAUAAUCCAUGCAACAAUAAAUCGUAUUGCCAAAGUGGAGGAUGAUUACCAAAAGAUGAUGGGGCUCAAAAAACGGGCUGAGGCAGCAGAUGUCGCAAAAUCUCAGUUUCUUGCCACUGUUUCCCAUGAGAUCAGAACCCCAAUGAAUGGUGUUCUAGGGAUGUUGCAAAUGCUCAUGGACACAGAUCUAGAUAUAACACAGCAAGAUUAUGUGAGAACAGCCCAGGCCAGUGGCAAAGCCCUGGUUUCACUUAUAAACGAGGUUUUAGACCAGGCCAAGAUUGAAUCUGGUAAGCUUGAACUGGAGGCUGUCCGGUUUGAUCUGAGGGCAAUUUUGGAUGAUGUCUUGUCACUUUUCUCUGGGAAGUCUCAAGACAAGGGGAUAGAGUUGGCAGUGUAUAUCUCUAAUCGGGUUCCUGAAAUUGUAAUUGGAGAUCCGGGGAGAUUUAGGCAGAUCAUCACGAAUCUCAUGGGGAAUUCAAUCAAAUUCACUGAGAAAGGACACAUCUUUGUGACCGUCCAUCUUGUUGAGGAGGUGAUAAACUCAAUUGAAGUAGAGACAGAUGUAUCAUCAAAGAACACCUUGAGUGGGUUGCUCGUGGCAGACAGACGCCGCAGCUGGGAAACGUUCAAGAAGUUCAGUCAAGAGGGACGCAUGUGUCCACAGGCUUUCUUGUCAACCUCCUCAGAGCUCAUCAAUCUAAUUGUAUCGGUUGAAGAUACGGGUGUGGGCAUCCCUCUUGAAGCUCAAUCUCGUGUUUUCACCCCUUUUAUGCAGGUUGGACCUUCCAUUGCCCGUACCCAUGGGGGAACAGGUAUUGGACUGAGUAUAAGCAAGUGUUUAGUUGGUAUGAUGAAUGGGGAGAUUGGAUUUGUCAGUGAACCCCAGAUUGGGUCCACUUUUACCUUCACUGUUGUCUUCACCAAUGUUUGCUCCAAUUUAAAUGAGUACAAAAACCAGCAGAAUAAUCAGUCCAAGUCUUUGUCAUCAGAAUUUCAUGGGAUAACAGCAUUGGUCGUGGACCCCAGACCUGUGAGGGCAAAAGUGACAAGAUAUCAUCUGCAACGGCUUGGGAUUCAAGUUGAAAUAACUUCUGAUCUGAAUGAAGGUUUUGAUAGCAUAGCCUCUGGAACUGCAGUUAUCAACAUGGUCCUUGUUGAGAAAGAAGUGUGGGAUGAGGAUAUGGAUCUCUCAAAAUGCUUUGUUAACAAUUUGAGGAAGAUUGACCUAGUGGAUCCCCCAAAACUGGUGCUUCUGGAAAAUUCCAUCAGUUCUACCAAAACCAGUUCUGCAAACUCUGGUGGGUAUACCCCGACUAUUAUCUCUAAGCCCCUCAGGGCUAGUAUGCUGGCAGCAUCUCUGCAACGAGCAAUGGGUGCUGCAAGCAAGGUCAACUGCCACAACAGAGGGCUCCCAAUUCUCUCUCUCCGCAAUCUUCUUCAUGGGAAGCGUAUUCUUGUUGUAGAUGACAAUAAUGUCAACCUCAGGGUUGCUGCUGGUGCUUUGAAGAAGUAUGGAGCAGAUGUGGAGUGUAGAGACACUGGGAAAAAGGCAAUUUCAAUGCUUAGACCACCUCACCACUUUGAUGCCUGCUUCAUGGAUAUUCAGAUGCCAGAAAUGGAUGGGUUUGAAGCGACAAGAAGGAUUCGGGAUAUGGAACUUGACAUUAACUGUCGUAUUCAGCAUGGAGAAGUAUCUGCAGCAGCUUAUGGAAACAUUUCGAACUGGCAUGUACCCAUUUUAGCAAUGACUGCUGAUGUCAUUCAGGCUACACACGAGGAGUGCUUGAGAUGUGGUAUGGAUGGCUAUGUAUCUAAACCAUUUGAAGGAGAACAACUGUACCGGGAAGUUACACGCUUUUUCAAUUCGAACUCGGACACACCCCCAAAAGCAUGCACUUAAAACAUACUUGGUGGGGAUGCAAGUACAAACAGUUAUUCUCCUGGACGCAUUGAGAUGCUUAAAUGGGUAUUUAGUUUGUUAUGAAGAGUUUGAGAAAAAGAAAAAAAAUAUAUCUGGUUGUUUGCUGGAGUGUGUUUCUGUGUGCAUGGCAUGCUCAAUUAUGCUGGGUGGCCUUUCGUCAUCUGGAAUCCAAUCUAAUUGCAGAACCAAUUGCUCUCACUUCCAUUGGAUUCAAUGCCUCGAUGUCCAAACGUACAGGUGAAGGAUUGCAGAGACCAAACUGAAUACCAAGGAUUAUUACUGUGAAAGGCAUGGAAGAAGAAACCAUGCACUUGGAUCAAUCAUGGAAGCUUCAGGAUUUACCAGAUAAUGUCCCCUACCCAUCUGAUAAUGAAGUUGGGAGCAUUGGGGAGAUUCUUUUUGGUUUCCCUCUAAAAAUUGAGGGUGUAUUAUAGAGGUUUAUUUCAUACAGGUAUGAUACAUAACACGUGCUUUUUCAGGAAAAGAAGAAUUGAUCAGUGUACAACAAAUCAAUUAAAAGAUCAUUUAGGUUUAUUCACUGUACCCUUUGUGUAUAUAUCCUUCCACAAUCUGUUUUUAUUACCAAAAAGGAGGUAAAAAGCAGAAG